GACCAGCUACAGACCAGUUACAACAACCUGACUAAAGAGAGAGACCAGCUACAGGCCAGUUACAACAACCUGAUUAAAGAGAGAGACCAGCUACAGACUGAGAGAGAUUUUCUUAAUGGGAGGCUUACCAAUCUCAAACAAAACUGUCCUGCUGGCUGGCAGAAGUUUGAAUCCAGUUGGUACUUCCUGUCUACUGAGACUAAAACCUGGAAGGAGAGCAGAGAGGACUGUCUGGAGAGAGGAGCAGACCUGGUUAUCAUAAACAGUGAUAUGGAACAGGAAAUGGCUUCCUGAAAUCCCUCAAGCAGCUGAUUGGUCGACUCCAGGGCUAAUUGGAG